rnacentral:rRNA from 1 species
GUACACGAGCGGCGAACGGGUGAGUAACACGUGGGUGAUCUGCCCUGCACUCUGGGAUAAGCUUGGGAAACUGGGUCUAAUACCGGAUAUGACCNCAGCAUGCAUGUGUUGUGGUGGAAAGAUUUAUCGGUGCAGGAUGGGCCCGCGGCCUAUCAGCUUGUUGGUGGGGUAAUGGCCUACCAAGGCGACGACGGGUAGCCGACCUGAGAGGGUGACCGGCCACACUGGGACUGAGACACGGCCCAGACUCCUACGGGAGGCAGCAGUGGGGAAUAUUGCACAAUGGGCGGAAGCCUGAUGCAGCGACGCCGCGUGAGGGAUGAAGGCCUUCGGGUUGUAAACCUCUUUCAGCAGGGACGAAGCGUGAGUGACGGUACCUGCAGAAGAAGCACCGGCUAACUACGUGCCAGCAGCCGCGGUAAUACGUAGGGUGCGAGCGUUGUCCGGAAUUACUGGGCGUAAAGAGUUCGUAGGCGGUUUGUCGCGUCGUUUGUGAAAACCCGGGGCUCAACUUCGGGCUUGCAGGCGAUACGGGCAGACUUGAGUGUUUCAGGGGAGACUGGAAUUCCUGGUGUAGCGGUGAAAUGCGCAGAUAUCA